UACGUAGGGCGCGAGCGUUGUCCGGAAUUAUUGGGCGUAAAGGGCUCGUAGGCGGUCUGUCGCGUCGGGAGUGAAAACUCAGGGCUUAACCCUGAGCCUGCUUCCGAUACGGGCAGACUAGAGGUAUGCAGGGGAGAACGGAAUUCCUGGUGUAGCGGUGAAAUGCGCAGAUAUCAGGAGGAACACCAGUGGCGAAGGCGGCGCCCUGGCUCGCAACUGACGCUCAGACACGACAGCAUGGGGAGCGAACGGG
rnacentral:rRNA from 1 species